rnacentral:misc_RNA from 1 species
CCAUGAUUAUGGCUAUCCCUGCAUGGCCGGUGUUUGCUGCGCUGUUUGGCCUGGUUUCGUGGUGGCUGAGAGAUUGGCAAUAUCUUCACUAUGCAUCCGCUAUAAUCACCGUACCAUUUUUAUUUGGAGUUUUGUGAGGAAUUUUCUAAUUGUUUCACAAGAGAUGUUGAUCCCUUAGAAUUAUUUCACUGUGGUUUUCUUAAACUGCAUCAAUUAUACAGUAUUUUAGGCUGUAUAGUAGAAGGAUUGAACAUUUUCCAGACAUUCAUUAAGUAUAGAAAAUAAUAGAAUAAUGGUGAACGUGGCAAAAAGUAUGUUUUAGGAACCUGUUGUAAUGGUUCCUGUAUCGACUUUCUGAAAUAACUGUUAAAGGUUUUUUUACAGUGUAGUUCCGGAGAGCUUUCGCUGGCUUGUGUCUCACUAUAAGACGAAACAGGCGGAAGUGGUGAUCGCUCGAAUUGCUGCCGUCAACGGCAAAAAGAAACCGGACGUGACGAAACUUAUUGAAAUAACCCGGAAAAAGGAAGAAAUGAAGCAAGACAAGAAAUACUCCAUUCUUGAUAUUUUCCGACAUAAAUCGCUGAUGAAGCAUUCAUUCCUGUUAUGGUUUAUAUGGCUUGCCAGUGGCUACUCUUACUACGCCAUUUCGUUCGGGGUUGAAGAACUUUCGGGAGACCUCUACUUAAACAUGUUCCUACUGAGUGCGGUCGAAAUUCCGGCACAAGCUGUCACGUGGUUCUUCAAUAACUGCAUCGGAAGAAAGUGGACCUGCUGCCUGUUUUACAUGAUCGCUGCUCUGGGAGGUUUGGCCGUUGGGGUAGUGCAAGUUCUCAAUCCAGCAAACAGCUCGGUUAUUAUAAAUGGAUGCGCGAUGGUGGCAAAACUGGGUGUGGCUGCGGCGUGGGCGGCGUUAAUGACGUUUACAACGGAAACGUACCCAACGGUUGUCAGAAAUAUAGGAUACGGGUGUGCCAAUUCUAUUUCCCGUGUUGGUGCUAUGGUUGCCCCGCAAAUUGUUCAAUUAAGUAAAUCUGUGUCCGGGUUAAUGUACUUUCUAUGCGGGACUUUGAUGUUUUUGUCCUCCAUAUCUGCAGCGCUAGUUCCGGAAACAAAAGGAAAAGUCAUGGAAAAUCAGAUCCGAAAGUCCGGAAAAGCGGAAUUGUACAAACUGGAGAGUGGUUCAGUAAAUGCAGAAAAAAAGAUAACAAUAUAGCCCUUCGGAUGAAUCAACAUAUAAACAAUGUUAUCGUUAAUUUGAUCUGUGCAUGUAAAAACAUUUUUGACAUGAUUACCUCAUUUUAGCUUCAAUGAAGCCUUUCUUAAAAGGUUUUAUUUUUAUAAAGUAAGAGUUGAAAAAU